rnacentral:rRNA from 2 species
UUGAAGGUUGGGUAACACUAACUGGAGGACCGAACCGACUAAUGUUGAAAAAUUAGCGGAUGACCUGUGGCUGGGGGUGAAAGGCCAAUCAAACCGGGAGAUAGCUGGUUCUCCCCGAAAGCUAUUUAGGUAGCGCCUCGUGAAUUCAUCUCCGGGGGUAGAGCACUGUUUCGGCUAGGGGGCCAUCCCGGCUUACCAACCCGAUGCAAACUGCGAAUACCGGAGAAUGUUAUCACGGGAGACACACGGCGGGUGCUAACGUCCGUCGUGAAGAGGGAAACAACCCAGACCGCCAGCUAAGGUCCCAAAGUCAUGGUUAAGUGGGAAACGAUGUGGGAAGGCCCAGACAGCCAGGAUGUUGGCUUAGAAGCAGCCAUCAUUUAAAGAAAGCGUAAUAGCUCACUGGUCGAGUCGGCCUGCGCG